CGUAAACAGAGGGAAGCGAAACCGCGAGGUAGAGCAAAUCCCCAAAAACGGUCUCAGUUCGGAUUGCAGGCUGCAACUCGCCUGUAUGAAGUCGGAAUCGCUAGUAAUCGCGGAUCAGCAUGCCGCGGUGAAUACGUUCCCGGGCCUUGUACACACCGCCGUCACACCAUGAGAGUCGGGAACACCCGAAGUCCGUAGCCUAACCGCAAGGAGGGCGCGGCCGAAGGUGGGUUCGAUAAUUGGGGUGAAGUCGUAACAAGGUAUC
rnacentral:rRNA from 1 species